rnacentral:lncRNA from 1 species
CCCCCAACGUUGGAUUUAUGUGGUUAAACAAGAUUGUCUUCUCAACCAACAAACAUUUGUCGAUUUGUCUCCCUCACUACAAUAUUUAUGUGGACUUAGAUCAUUACAAGUAUUGGACCACUUUCCACUAAAUUGUCUUCAACUCCCAUUAUUUGAACACCUCUACUAUUGUACCUUUUUUUUUUUUUUUUUUUCUUAAAGCUGCUCACUUAAAGCCAAUCUUCACUGACACUUCCAUUAAAAUCGUUGAUUUUUUGGUUGCUUUGAAGUAACUUUUUUUCCCUAAGGGGUAAUAAAAUUAAGACACUUCUACCAGUACCAAUACUUACCGAAAAAACGAGGAAAUAUUUUUUUAAAAUCUUUUUAGGUUAAUUACGAAUAACUCAAGGGUAGCUAGACAACAUGUUUAAUGGUAAAUUUUGAAUAUGAUGAAUAACCACAUAUACUAGAUAUUCCUUUUAUGCAAAAGUAAAUAGUAAAUAAUAACACACGUGAAAAUACUUAAUAAUCUUUAUUUUUUUCCUUUUUUUUUUUUUUUUUUUAUCUUAAAGCUGCUCACUUAAAGCCAAUCUUCACUGACACUUCCAUUAAAAUCGUUGAUUUUUUGGUUGCUUUGAAGUAACUUUUUUUCCCUAAGGGGUAAUAAAAUUAAGACACUUCUACCAGUACCAAUACUUACCGAAAAAACGAGGAAAUAUUUUUUUAAAAUCUUUUUAGGUUAAUUACGAAUAACUCAAGGGUAGCUAGACAACAUGUUUAAUGGUAAAUUUUGA